UUAAUAGUAGAAUUUGGGAAGAGUAGAUGGUUGUCUUUUUUUAGAGAGUGUACGUUUGCUGAGAGUACAUAAAAGGCGUUAUUGAAGGUAGCCCACGUUGAACUUUAGCUGAAAGUAAAGUAGGUUAAAGCGUGUUAUGAGCGUUAAUCGUAAGAGUGCAAUAGUGCGAAUGCAUUAUUGAAUUUAGGUGGUACCGCGGAACAUCCGUCCUAUGA
rnacentral:ncRNA from 1 species